GAUGAACGCUGGCGGCGUGCCUAAUACAUGCAAGUCGAGCGAACAGAUGAGGAGCUUGCUCCUCUGACGUUAGCGGCGGACGGGUGAGUAACACGUGGAUAACCUACCUAUAAGACUGGGAUAACUUCGGGAAACCGGCGCUAAUACCGGAUAAUAUAUUGAACCGCAUGGUUCAAUAGUGAAAGACGGUUUUGCUGUCACUUAUAGAUGGAUCCGCGCCGCAUUAGCUAGUUGGUAAGGUAACGGCUUACCAAGGCGACGAUGCGUAGCCGACCUGAGAGGGUGAUCGGCCACACUGGAACUGAGACACGGUCCAGACUCCUACGGGAGGCAGCAGUAGGGAAUCUUCCGCAAUGGGCGAAAGCCUGACGGAGCAACGCCGCGUGAGUGAUGAAGGUCUUCGGAUCGUAAAACUCUGUUAUUAGGGAAGAACAAAUGUGUAAGUAACUAUGCACGUCUUGACGGUACCUAAUCAGAAAGCCACGGCUAACUACGUG
rnacentral:rRNA from 1 species